rnacentral:rRNA from 1 species
GACGAACGCUGGCGGCGUGCUUAACACAUGCAAGUCGAACGAUGACGACCGAGCUUGCUCGGUCUGAUUAGUGGCGAACGGGUGAGUAACACGUGAGCAACCUGCCCUUCACUCUGGGAUAACCUCGGGAAAUCGGGGCUAAUACCGGAUAUGAGCUCCUGUCCCAUGGCGGGUGUUGGAAAGUUUUUCGGUGAAGGAUGGGCGCGCGGCCUAUCAGUUUGUUGGUGAGGUAGGGGCUCACAAAGGCGUUGACGGGUAGCCGGCCUGAGAGGGCGACCGGCCACACGGGGACUGAGACACGGCCCAGACUGCAACGGGAGGCAGCAGUGGGGAAUAUUGCACAAUGGGCGAAAGCCUGAUGCAGCGACGCCGCGUGAGGGAUGACGGCCUUCGGGUUGUAAACCUCUUUCAGCAGGGAAGAAGCGAAAGUGACGGUACCUGCAGAAGAAGCGCCGGCUAACUACGUG